rnacentral:piRNA from 1 species
UGUCACUACAGCUGUCCGGUAAACCCUGA